rnacentral:rRNA from 1 species
AGCUCCAGUAGCGUAUAUUAAUGCUGCUGCAGUUAAAAAGCUCGUAGUUGGAUCUAGGGCUUAGGCUAACGGUCCCUCGCAAGGGGUGCACUGUUCGACCUAGCCUCCCUCGCGGUUUGCGCCCGGUUCUCUUAACUGAGUGCCGGGUGCGACCGGAACGUUUACUUUGAAAAAAUUGGAGUGUUCAAAGCAGGCGCAACAGCCUGAACAGCAGAGCAUGGAAUAAUGGAAUAGGACCUCGGUUCUAUUGCGUUGGUUUUAGGAGUCCGAGGUAAUGAUUGAGAGGGACUGACGGGGGCAUUCGUAUUGCGGUGUGAGAGGUGAAAUUCUUGGAUCGCCGCAAGACGUCCGACAGCGAAAGCAUUUGCCAAGAAUGUCUUCA